rnacentral:lncRNA from 1 species
ACUGCCUGACUGGCCCCGCCCACCACUGCCUGACCACACCCUGUGCUUCCCUGGCCCCGCCCCGCGCUAGCCCCGCCCCCUCUGUUUCUAGGUAACGACUUUGAUCUGAGUGACGCCCUGGACGGAGACGACCCCAACCCGUCCAGACCCCGGGACCAGCCGAAGCCGGAUCCGAAGCCGCGGCCGCCGCCCGGAGGUGGGGUCAGGGGCGGGGCCUGGGUUUGUGCUGACGGGGGGGCGGGGCCUGGGUUUGUGCUAAUGGCCGGCUAUGCUAAUUUAUGCUAAUCCGCUCUAACCCUGCUCCUCCUGCAGGGCGUGGCCUCCGUUUAUGCUAAUCCGGCCUCCUCAUUUGCAUGUAUGGUAAUCGCGGUCCCUGUGUGGCCUGGUUUAUGCUAAUGGGCGGUGACGUCGUCUCCGUUUAUGUAAAUGACGCUGAGGUCAGCUGCCCGCGCUAAUCCUGUGUCGGCUCAUUUGCAUGCGAGGCGUGGUUUAUGCUAAUUCACUCUAUGCUCCUCCCCCGCUAACGAGGGGCUCAUUUGCAUGCCCGGCCCCUAUGCUAAUUUAUGCUAAUGGCGGGGUCUGUCCGUAGAUGUCAGCGAGGCCCUGUCAUUUGCAUAUAUGCUAAUGACGCUCUGCCAGCGACCCGGGAUCCCCGCCCCUUUAUGCUAAUUCCCCCACUAACCCCGCCCCUUUAUACUAAUUUCCCCACUAACCCCGCCCCUUUAUACUAAUUCCCCCACUAACCCCGCCCGCCACUGUGUCGUGAUUUAUGAUUUAUGCAAAUGAGUGCGCUGACGUCACCUCCCGGCCCCGCCCACAGGCAAUUUCUCCAUCACCGACCUGGAGGACGCGGCCGGCGGGAAGGGUGAGGCCCCGCCCCGACGUCACCGACGUCACACCUCGCCCCUGACUUCACUCAACAGAGACCCCGCCCCCAGACCCCGCCCCGCCCCGCCGUCCACCCCCAGAGCCUCCCUGUGACGUCAGUGACACUGCCGGUCACGCCCGAGCCCCGCCCCUGACGUCACCGGAGCCCCGCCCUCUCUUCCCUUGCAGGCGGAGGCGGCAGCCGAGGGGGUCCUGAACCAGAGCCGGAAGCCGGAGGGUCCCCCCAGGGCCUGGUUCCCGGCAUCGUGGGCGCCGUGGUCGCCGCCCUGGCCGGCGCGGUGUCGAGCUUCGUGGCCUAUCAGAAGCGGCGGCUGUGCUUCCGGGAGAGCGGUGAGGGCGGGGCCCCGGGAGGGGCGGGGCUUCCGUGCCCUGACUGACAGCGGCGGGGCAGAUACCCGGGAGGGGCGUGGCUACAAUCGGGAACCCCCUUCACUGCCUUGUGACGUCAUUCACCACCCGGGCUGGGUCUCCAGUGACGUCAGCCAGGGGCAUCACCUGAGCGGAGCCUGUCAAUCACGUCACGGAGCAGCCGGAACUUCCUGCCCCACCAUCCACUUCCCGGGCCCCGCCCCUGAGUCCCCUGGCAUCACCGUCGCCCUAACUUCCGGUUCUCUCCCCUCAGGCCCCGCCCCCGUGUAGCCGGUUCCGCCCAGUGACGACUCCCGUGAUGCUCGGCAGAGAGGAAGAACCCGAGGCCACGCCCUCAUGCGCGUGACGUCAGCGCUCUGACAUCUCCGGGCUCCGCCCACAAUCCCCGGGCCAGGGCCUCAGGCCCUCAUUUGCAUAUGCAAAUCGCCAAAGCCUUAACCCUGCCGCUCAUUUGCAUAAGGAGCGCUCUGAGGGGCGGGGCCUGUGGUGCCAAUCAGAGCCGGGGGCUCAUCCGCAUGGCCACGCCCCCCGCGCAGCCGGCGCCGGCUCAUUUACAUAUCAGGAAAUGAAAAAGUCCUGGUGCUUUCGGGGGCGGAGCCUCGGUUCCGGCCCCGCCCAGCUCAUUUGCCUGUGGGGAAUCCCCGCCAGCUCAUUUGCAUAUCUGAAACUCAGCCCCGCCCCCGCGCUGCUUCCAGUGCCUCAUUAGCAUAUCUGCACUGACGUCGGGGGCAGGGCCUGCGGCUUCUUCCCAUCACUAGGGACCCCGCCCCUCAUUUGCUUCCUGCUGCUGCCUUAACGUAAGGGGCGGGGCCGUGACGUCAGGAGCGUGGCGGCCCCUGCGGGAGACCCCGGUGCCAAUAAAAUAAAAACCCGGAAUAAACGGGUUGAACGC